AAUUACUCUGAUUUCUCAUUGUUUUAAAUGUUUCAUUAAAUUAUAAACAUAAUCAUAUGUUUUGUUCAUAUAUUUCAUUUAAUAUAUCACACUUAUAAUGAUAACAUUUAAAACAUAAUUGCUUCAGAAUCUAAAUCAAUGCCGUUUUUAUACUAAAAAGCAAUAACGGUUAUUUUAUGUACUAUUUCAGAUCAAUAUUUUGCUAUAGUUGCUCGUUUUCAAAGCAUUUCACACAAUAAGAUUAACAAUCAUGGACAUAAAUUCAUAUAUGUCUGAAGAGAAUAGAUGUACCCUGUAGAUGGUUCGACUGGAGUAAUAAUGAAAAGACCAGUAAGAUGAACACUAAAGAAGAAGAUUUCAUUACCAGAUGAAAGGAAUUCCACUGGUAACAGUCAUGAACACAAAUUGACAACUGGUAUUUGAAUCGCCUUUAAUUGUAAUAUCUCUUCAUGGCAGUGGCAUAACAGAUGAAAAAGAAACUAUCAAACAGUUCAAAGAAGAAUUACAGAAAACUAAG